GGUGAACGCUGGCGGCAUGCUUUACACAUGCAAGUCGAACGGCAGCACGGACUUCGGUCUGGUGGCGAGUGGCGAACGGGUGAGUAACAUAUCGGAACGUAUCCAAUAAUGGGGGAUAACGAGUCGAAAGAUUCGCUAAUACCGCAUACGCCCUACGGGGGAAAGCUGGGGACCUUCGGGCCUGGCGUUAAUGGAGCGGCCGAUAUCUGAUUAGCUAGUUGGUGAGGUAAAGGCUCACCAAGGCGACGAUCAGUAGCUGGUCUGAGAGGACGACCAGCCACACUGGAACUGAGACACGGUCCAGACUCCUACGGGAGGCAGCAGUGGGGAAUUUUGGACAAUGGGCGCAAGCCUGAUCCAGCCAUUCCGCGUGAGUGAAGAAGGCCUUCGGGUUGUAAAGCUCUUUCGCAAGGGAAGAAAACUUAGCCACUAACAUUGGUUGAGGUUGACGGUACCUUGAUAAGAAGCACCGGCUAACUACGUGCCAGCCGCCGCCGUAA
rnacentral:rRNA from 1 species